UACGUAGGGUGCGAGCGUUGUCCGGAAUUAUUGGGCGUAAAGGGCUCGUAGGCGGUUUGUCGCGCCGGGAGUGAAAACCAGGUGCUUAACACCUGGCUUGCUUUCGAUACGGGCAGACUAGAGGUAUUCAGGGGAGAACGGAAUUCCUGGUGUAGCGGUGAAAUGCGCAGAUAUCAGGAGGAACACCGGUGGCGAAGGCGGUUCUCUGGGAAUGACCUGACGCUGAGGAGCGAAAGUGUGGGGAGCGAACAGG
rnacentral:rRNA from 1 species